rnacentral:rRNA from 1 species
AGUGAACGCUGGCGGUAGGCCUAACACAUGCAAGUCGAACGGCAGCACAGUAAGAGCUUGCUCUUACGGGUGGCGAGUGGCGGACGGGUGAGGAAUACAUCGGAAUCUACUUUUUCGUGGGGGAUAACGUAGGGAAACUUACGCUAAUACCGCAUACGACCUACGGGUGAAAGCAGGGGAUCUUCGGACCUUGCGCGAUUGAAUGAGCCGAUGUCGGAUUAGCUAGUUGGCGGGGUAAAGGCCCACCAAGGCGACGAUCCGUAGCUGGUCUGAGAGGAUGAUCAGCCACACUGGAACUGAGACACGGUCCAGACUCCUACGGGAGGCAGCAGUGGGGAAUAUUGGACAUGGGCGCAAGCCUGAUCCAGCCAUACCGCGUGGGUGAAGAAGGCCUUCGGGUUGUAAAGCCCUUUUGUUGGGAAAGAAAAGCAGCAGGUUAAUACCCCGCUGUUCUGACGGUACCCAAAGAAUAAGCACCGGCUAACUUCGUG